CACGUAGGCACCAAGCGUUGUCCGGAUUUAUUGGGCGUAAAGAGCUCGUAGGCGGUUGAGUAAGUCGGGUGUGAAAACUCUGGGCUUAACCCAGAGCCGCCACUCGAUACUGCUCUGACUUGAGUUCGGUAGGGGAGCAGGGAAUUCCUAGUGUAGCGGUGAAAUGCGCAGAUAUUAGGAGGAACACCGGUGGCGAAGGCGCUGCUCUGGGCCGAAACUGACGCUGAGGAGCGAAAGCGUGGGUAGCAAACAGG
rnacentral:rRNA from 2 species